CGGAAGUAAAAGUCGUAACAAGGUUUCCGUAGGUGAACCUGCGGAAGGAUCAUUAAAAAUUGGACUCCAUUGGUGAGUUCAUUAAUAAUCCCUACCCUUUGUGAAUUUGUUUGUUUGAAUAAUUUUUUUUCCAAAAAAAAUUAUUGAAUGUCUUUCCCUGUUUUGGUGGAGCUUGUAAAGUGAAACCAGGCAGGGGAAUGGCAAACAAUAAUUAUUUUUGAAAAAAGACCUUUUUUUAAAAUUAAACUUUUGUAUUCAUUUGUCUAAAAUUAUUUUAUAAUAUUAAAACAGCUUUGACAAUGGAUCUCUUGGUUCUCGCAACGAUGAAGAACGCAGCAAAAUGCGAUAAGUAGUGUGAAUUGCAGAAUACGUGAAUCAUCGAAUCUUCGAACGCAUAUUGCACUUUUUUAGUUUACUAAAAAAGUAUGUCUGUUUGAGUAUCAGUAAAAUAUUCUCAUAAAAACUUUUUUUUUAUGGUUAUGAAUGUUUUACAACGAUACAAGUUGUUUCACUUUAAAUUUUUUUAAAAUUUGAAUUUUUCUAAUUUUAGAAUAAAAUUGGAUAAAAUUUUCCCGUAAAAAGGAAUAACCUAAACAAUUUUAAUUUUUUGAUUAGAAUUUUUCAUUCUAAAGGAAAAUUUAACUAAAUAACUUGAUCUCAAAUCAGAUAAGAGUACCGCUGAACUAAGCAUAUCAAUAAGCGGAGGAAAAGAAACUAACAAGGAUUCCCUUAGUAACGGCGAGUGAAGCGGGAAGAGCUCAAUUUGAAAUCUUCAAGGUUUUACCUUGACGAAUUGUAGUUUAAAGAGUGUUUUCUGUUGAAGUUUUGGUAAAAGUUCUUUGGAAAAGGACAUCAUAGAGGGUGAGAAUCCCGUAUUUGACCAUUAUUUCAGCUGUGUGAUACACUUCAAAGAGUCGGAUUGUUUGGGAAUGCAGUCCAAAAUGGGUGGUAAAUUUCAUCUAAAGCUAAAUACUGGCGAGAGACCGAUAGCGAACAAGUACCGUGAGGGAAGAUGAAAAGAACUUUGAAAAGAGAGUUAAACAGUACGUGAAAUUGUCAAAAGGGAAGCGUUUGACACCAGUGUUGUUUUCUCGAAAAUCAAUUAAAAAGAGUUGGAUUUUGUGUUGUAUUGACCUUAACAGCUUGCUUCACUCUUUUCUGCUUUUUUAAUGCACUUUUCGUUUAACAAGUCAACAUCAGUUUCUUUGUUGUAAAAGGGUCAUUGGAAGGUGGCUUUCUCUUCGGAGAAAGUGUUUAUAGCCUUUGAUCUCUGCAAUCGGAGAGACUGAGGUCUGCAGCGUAGAUCCUUCGGGGUUAGAUACAUUUGUGCUAAGCUACAGCUUUUCAUAGACAACUUGUUGACUAUGUUUAGUCUUGUAACUUACCCGCUUAUGCUAUUUUACCUACGCUUAGGAUGUU
rnacentral:misc_RNA from 1 species